rnacentral:rRNA from 1 species
UACAGAGGCCCCAAGCGUUACUGAGAAUCACUGGGUUUAAAGGGUGCGUAGGUGGCGCGUUAAGUCCGUUGUGAAAUCCCUGGGCUCAACCCAGGAAUUGCUUCGGAUACUGGCGUGCUUGAGGCCGGUAGGGGUCACUGGAACUGACGGUGGAGCGGUGAAAUGCGUAGAUAUCGUCAGGAACGCCGAUGGCGAAGGCAGCUCGCUGGGACGGUACUGACGCUGAGACGCGAAAGCGUGGGGAGCAAACAGGG